CCGCACGUAGGGCAAAUCGAGAGGUAUGGGCAUCCACCAGUAUAUCCCUAUAAAUAAUACUCAAGAAAAUACAAGAAAACCUGCGCAUGGACAGACCUACGGCACAAAUACACAAAACCUCCUAUGGCGGACUGCCAGGCACCCCGACUGGGUGCCUCUGCCAAUCGCGGCUUCCUAGUGCUUCGUGAGUACCACAAGCAGCGCACGAGACACCAUCAGCACUGUAGUCCCCACUUCCAGCAUUACAGCUUGGUUGGGGUCUCGCUGUUCUUCACCCACCCUGGACCCAAGACCAGAAUCCAGCCUCCAGUUGGUAGACCUUUCCUCCAACAGAGUGUAGCAAUAUGCUCUUAAAAGAGCAAGUGAUUAUAAUCCCAGGGGAUUAGCAAUCCCCAGAGUAGAUACAGCGGUUUCCUCCACACAUGAGAUGACUCUAUGUUGAGGGUAAGCAGGAACUCUUUUAUUGGUAGCCACAACUGGCUUCAUAUGCAGGUCCUCAUGCAAGGGGCACUUCCCCCUAGACCUGAGAAUAAACCACAGUGUAAACAAUUACACAACCACAUUGGCUCUCAGAUCCAGGACACUCCCAUACAUAAGGAGACAAUCCUUCCCCUGUGCCUGGGAGAUAACUGAGUCAUGAACUGUACUAACUCAAUUAGCGCCAGGCAAAAAAAUACACAUUUCAGCAAUACCCUGGAAGUACCCCUAAAACCCAUGGAAACUCCAUAAAAGUUACAUCCCCUGAUAGCCCCGAUCUGGGUGACCAACAUAUCCAAAAAUCACCCAGAUUGGUUCAGAGGUUUAAGAUUUCCAUGGAAGUCAUAUUUUGACCGACCGCACACGAGACUCCUUCCCAAAAGAGUUCCAUGAAUUUAGACUGUGGUCGGUCUCUUUCGGGAAUACUUAAUACAGUCAAAUCAACGAAUAAACUGUUGGUGCGUUUGUCUGGUGCCCCGCUUUCGGGAGUUUGCUCCCACUGAACGCCAUUCUUUAUAAUCCAUUUCCAGGAGGCGGGGGGGCUGGUGCACACACACGGCCUCCUACCCUCUCCCAUUCAGAUCCCCCACCCUUCUACGAACACCCUCACUCCCUACGAUCUGAAAACCACUACUCUCACUAAUCCUCAUAUCAGGACAUAACCCAGAAAAACACGCCUCCACAAUGACAAAUCCUACGUGACAGCACAAGGGACCACCGAUCACAAAAAGGAGGCACCCCGAGCUGGAUGACACCACCCUUUUAAGAGCAGGCAGGACGUAAGCCCCCAAUAGCGAAACCCUUAUGACAACAUAUACGAACAUUCCUCAUGGGACCAAUCGCAAGGGCUGUGGAACAAUGAAAACAAAUAAGGGUAUCUAUGUUAAAAUUGCAACCUUAAACAUAGCUCACUGACACCCCGCAGUAAUACAGGUGCACAACAGGCCUGUAAUGUAAUGUUAUGACCUGAUCUCUUCUGUACUGUUCCUUACCUUUGCCUAUAUUGUAUACCAAUUUCUUGUUACAUAUUGUACGUUCACCUAUGUUACCGUUACAUAAAUG